AUAAAUAUUUAAUCCCGGUGCAUUGCACGGAAAGGCCCUUGUGGAGUUAAUCCUUCAACUCAUGUUUCCACUUGGAAAACAAUUUCGCUUGUGGCAGGGCAGCAGGUACGAGGCAGGGACAGAGCUGAGAGCUGGAGGUGGCCUGGAAGAGCUCAGGAGCUGUGUGUGGGGUGAUACAGGUGUCCUCCUGAUGCUGGAACCUCAACAGGAGCCCAAGCCACCUCCAAAAAUCAGUGCAGAGAGAUGACACCCUUCUGCUGAGCUCUGACCUCCCUGUACAGACCAUCUUUCAUGGGGCCAAUCCCCCUGCGAGCCACACACAGUCCAGGUGAGCCCAGAGGGUUCUGUGCUGGACUCACUUCAGCAAAAACAACCACACACCUGAGCCAGCAUUUGGGCAGCCUGGCUCUGCCACAACCCCAGAGUGCUGAGGAAGAAUGAGCCUGCACUUGGACUACAGGCCUAGGAUUUAGCAAACACUUGUUCAGCUCCUGACUCGCCUUGUUUGAGCUUCCGCAAGCCAGGAAUGCCUGAGGAGAAACUGCAGCCAUGCUCCGCUUGGCUUUGGGAAGCUGGAGAGCUCGUGGAAUGGGAGAGGUGGAUCCAGUGAAGCAGCACAGCUCCUGUGCACACAGGGGACCCGGCCAAGGGCUAUAACAGAUGUGUUUUAACCCAUGCCACUGAGCUAUUUGGGAUCUGUCUCAGAUUGCUCCAGCCCUCAUUCACGUGUCUUCCUGACCAAAGACCAACAACAACAAUUAGCAUCAUAUAAGGAGCAGGGGAUUGCUGCCAGCAUUAACACACUCUUGAGCACCAAGGCUUUUCCAUUCCACUUUUUAUCCCAGCUCUGCACACGGCAGAGGUCACUCUGCAUUAAUCAGCCUUGCUCCGGGCCAGCUCCUCCAGCACAUUCAGCCUGUGGGAUUGCAGCCGCUGCCUCUCCAUGCUCUGAUGGCUUCUCUCUGCUCCACACCUCUGCCUUUUUCCUUGAGCUCACCGAAAAAAGGGAUGUUCCAUGUUAUCCCAAGCUGAGCCUACAGACUCUACAGAGUGACACUGCCCGGGCAGGACAUGGUGCUGGGUCCUGGCUGCAGAUGAGAGCCUCAUGUUGUCAUUCUGAACUCUGACUAAAUCCCCUUCCCUCCAACAGCAGCCCUGAAUCUUCAACCCCUAGGAAGAGGUUUCCACCUUUCCAACACCCCCUGAAACGUGCUCUCCCAGAGCCUUUGGACUGGUUCAUGAUCACCCUGGGGAAACCCCAUCUGAGCCAGCAAAGGGAAUGUAAAGUCAAGACUUCUUCACGGCAUAUAAGCACACUCCAAGGAAAGGCUCUGGAAGGAAUCCUGAUGACUUCCAUAUUAUUUCCAGUAAAUUUUGUGCUGAUUCUUGGCACAAACACUGGAAAUGAAUAGGCUAGGUCAGGAAUGUAAAUAAAGUGAAACAUUGGGAUUUAAUCUAA